GUCAAAAUAAACAAGCAGUUAAUUAAAUGUAAUGAACUUUGCGAGAGUUAAGAUGUCAUAUGUAUUCAACAGGCAUAUUUACGCAUUGUGCUGGCUGUAUAUUCCUCCUAGUCAUGCCUAGUUUUAUGAAGCUCUUAUUGCAUAGGUUAUUAAAGGUAUCCAAUGGUUGCUGCGCAGAGGCCAAUAAUUCUCAGCAAUCAUGCCAUGUUGUAGGUUAAACGUGUAUUAAC